rnacentral:rRNA from 1 species
GACGGAGGAUGCAAGCGUUAUCCGGAAUGAUUGGCGUAAAGCGUCCGCAGGUGGCAGUUCAAGUCUGCUGUCAAAGACCGGGGCUUAACUUCGGAAAGGCAGUGGAAACUGAACAGCUAGAGUAUGGUAGGGGCAGAGGGAAUUCCUGGUGUAGGCGGUGAAAUGCGUAGAGAUCAGGAAGAACAUCGGUGGCGAAGGCGCUCUGCUGGACCAUAACUGACACUCAGGGACGAAAGCUAGGGGAGCGAAUGGG